UACGAAGGGGGCUAGCGUUGUUCGGAAUUACUGGGCGUAAAGCGCGCGUAGGCGGACAUUUAAGUCAGGGGUGAAAUGCCGGGGCUCAACCUCGGAACUGCCUUUGAUACUGGAUGUCUGGAGUCGGGAGAGGUGAGUGGAAUUCCGAGUGUAGAGGUGAAAUUCGUAGAUAUUCGGAAGAACACCAGUGGCGAAAGGCGACUUACUGGACACAUAUUGACGCUGAGGUGCGAAAGCGUGGGGAGCAAACAGG
rnacentral:rRNA from 1 species